rnacentral:rRNA from 1 species
GGGGCGGUCUCCUCCCAAAGCGUAACGGAGGAGCACGAAGGUUAGCUAAUCCUGGUCGGACAUCAGGAGGUUAGUGCAAUGGCAUAAGCUAGCUUGACUGCGAGCGUGACGGCGCGAGCAGGUGCGAAAGCAGGUCAUAGUGAUCCGGUGGUUCUGAAUGGAAGGGCCAUCGCUCAACGGAUAAAAGGUACUCCGGGGAUAACAGGCUGAUACCGCCCAAGAGUUCAUAUCGACGGCGGUGUUUGGCACCUCGAUGUCGGCUCAUCACAUCCUGGGGCUGAAGUAGGUCCCAAGGGUAUGGCUGUUCGCCAUUUAAAGUGGUACGCGAGCUGGGUUUAGAACGUCGUGAGACAGUUCGGUCCCUAUCUGCCGUGGGCGCUGGAGAAUUGAGGGGGGCUGCUCCUAGUACGAGAGGACCGGAGUGGACGCAUCACUGGUGUUCGGGUUGUCAUGCCAAUGGCACUGCCCGGUAGCUAAAUGCGGAAGAGAUAAGUGCUGAAAGCAUCUAAGCACGAAACUUGCCCCG